UACGAAGGGGGCUAGCGUUGCUCGGAAUCACUGGGCGUAAAGCGCACGUAGGCGGCUUUUUAAGUCAGGGGUGAAAUCCUGGAGCUCAACUCCAGAACUGCCUUUGAUACUGAGGAUCUUGAGUUCGGGAGAGGUGAGUGGAACUGCGAGUGUAGAGGUGAAAUUCGUAGAUAUUCGCAAGAACACCAGUGGCGAAGGCGGCUCACUGGCCCGAUACUGACGCUGAGGCACGAAAGCUAGGGGAGCAAAUGGG
rnacentral:rRNA from 1 species